UGCAGAUGGAGAGAUGCCGUGUCAAACGAUCGUGCAUUUCUAAUCAGGGGCGGUCAAAGCGGUGCGGCAGUUCCAAAACGACCUUGACCAUUUCAGUUUACGACUAAAUCUUUGCUUCCGUGCCCCCAAGACUCCUAUCCCAUCCCUUUUCUUUUCUCUAACCAGUUGGCCAACGAAGGACCUCCCAAUCAGCGGCGGCACCGGCGGAAGGACAGCGCUCCAUAUCCAUCCCAUACCCAAGGGUGCCGCCCUCUUCUCUCUCGCCCCUUGCCUGAGCUUCUCGAUUCAUCUUUUCCAUCUCACAUCCUCUCCUUUUGAGGAACCACUGGACACGGCGAGGACGGAGAUGGCUGCAUGUACCAGCAGAUGCAACAUCCUUGCCAGAAUCAGUCGCUCCAGCCCUAGGUGGAGGACGAUGUCCAGCUCGACCCCACGCUUCUCUUCUCCGUCCAGGAGGAAUUAGGUCAGCAGUCAAGUCCCUGGUCUUUCCUUUCUAUGAAUUAAUUUCUUCCAUAGGCUGCGCCUUAAUUUUCAUCCUCCAACCCUGAGGAUGGAUUGGGCUGGGUUCCAUGACCACGGUCCUUCAUCUGUUGUUUUACAGGUUGGUUCUUUUUGAUAAGAGUGGGAGUAGCUACUGGUGCCUGGUAGACGGAGGAGAACCGAAGAUAUCUGACGGAUGAAGCGCAGUCCACGCAGUACCUCCCUGCAGCUGCUCGGUCUUCGGUGUGGCGGUGUCGCGGACGCCAGCGCAGCAGCGCCGGCCUGCUCCUUCCAUGCCUCACCGUUCUGCCCCCGACACCUAUCCUGCAGAGUCGAAUCAGUCUUUGGCAUCGAGGCGUUCUCCAUCCACAGGGCUUCAAUGGCGUGGUGGUGUGGUACCUCUGUGGCUUCGUGGUUCACAAUUGGCAUCAUGUUUGUUACUUCAGAACUUGCUGUUUCCGCUUCAUGUGCUGGAAGGAAGACUGAACAUUCAGUAAGUUAGCUUAAUAUUUUUUUUGCUGAAUCGCCAUAUUAAUAUAAUAAUGGUGUUUGUCAUUGAAGAGUUAAUUGAUCUAUUUUUAUGUCUCAUGAAACAUGAGAUAUACAUAAUUUGUUGCAUGGUUUGAUAGGCACUGGUUUUCUUGCACUUCAGCGGCUGCAAAGUGGGAGCAUCAAGAGAUGGAUGCAUGAGUAACAUAAGCUUUCUAAUUGGUGAUGUUUCAGCUGCUGAGCAUGUCUUCCAGAUCAUUUACUCUUAGUGCGUUCUUAUCAUUUGUUUGAGGAUUCUACAACUAAUCCACUGAUUAGUAUCCAUGUGAAGGCGGGGAAAGUGAUGUUCCUCUCCUCAUGUAUAUUUGAUUUAGGACGUCUUUAUUUGUUAUGUAGGUGCGGCCCCUUCAGUCCUCAUGAAGGUUAUCUUUUCAUUCAUUUUUGCUUUUGUUCAAAUAUCAUGUGGUACUGCUAGCUAGACCAAUUAGUUCCGAGUUGGUGCAACCAAUUUUUGAUGUGUUGAUCAUUGAUAGUUUAAAUAGGUUGUAUAAAGAGGACACGGAAUACACAGUGAUUUGGCAUGAGCUUCUUUAUUUGCACGAUUCUUUGUUCAAGAGAGGCUCCGUAGCUUAAAGAGAAGGCAACCCCUUUAAGGCAACCCAACGACCCCUUGGUGUUGAUUAUUUUCAUCACAAGUACUAAAGAACCCAACAGAUCCUCACCUUGACGGUGGCCCCCGACACUGCCGGUGGUCUCCCACCGCUGGGUGAGCGCCAGACGACCAGCAGUACUGAUGCCUGCUCCAGAUCAGGGAGCAUAGCGUCUCCUAGAAGUUACCCUGCUGUCACUAUGAUUUUCUCCAUCACCAUCAUAUUAUGUUUUCAAUUUUAUCUAUAAAAGGUGUUAUCUAAUCAUUAUUUGUUGCAAAAUUAGCCGAACCAUAUGUACAUCCAUUUUCAUAUAGUACUGAUAUGAUUGUGCUGCAUGUUUGUGUAUUCAUGGUCAACUUGCCAUCAUAUUCUUACCUACAGAAGAAGGAUUCAAUAGUCAGUGAUGCAUCAAAUGUACUUUUCAUCUGCAAAUCAUAUGAGGUUUUCAUUUGCAGUACCAUCCUGCAGCUGAAAGCAAGAUUAUAAAUUCGGGAUUUGGUGACCAUGGGAAUCAGCGGUCGAUGGAGUUUGGUAUUAGCCACUGCAAGAGUAAUGUAUGGUAUUGGCGUCAUACUAGGAAUGCACCAUAAUUUCUUACGGUGGAUGAUCUUUGGAAAUUUUCUUUGGCGCUUUGAAUUUUCGAGGAAUGCUGCUAUUUUCUUAGCAAAGAGUAGUAAUUCAAUACUUACUAAUUCUUUUGGAGCUGUGGGUUUCUUAUGGCAGUCCAAGAUCAUGUAGCCGGGAUCCUGGUCCUGAAUGCUUGGUAGAGAAGGUGCUUUUCUUAGCUAGGAAUCUACGAGGCUGUGGUUGGUGUCGGAAGAACUAAUGCUUGAUUGCAUCUUUACUUAUAUUUUGCAGUUUGCUCACAGCGUAAGCUUUUGUGAUGUACAAUUUUGUAAUGUUUCUACCUAGGUGUCUUGGAUUGCUCCUGUAUGGACAUAUAUGUUUCACAAUCUAUACUGGAUAUCGAGAUGCUUUA